GACGAACGCUGGCGGCGUGCUUAACACAUGCAAGUCGAACGAUGAAGCCCAGCUUGCUGGGUGGAAGAGUGGCGAACGGGUGAGUAACACGUGAGCAACCUGCCCUUCACUCUGGGAUAAGCACUGGAAACGGUGUCUAAUACUGGAUAUGCACAAUGGCCGCAUGGUCUGUUGUGGGAAAGAUUUAUCGGUGAAGGAUGGGCUCGCGGCCUAUCAGCUUGUUGGUGAGGUAGUGGCUCACCAAGGCGACGACGGGUAGCCGGCCUGAGAGGGUGACCGGCCACACUGGGACUGAGACACGGCCCAGACUCCUACGGGAGGCAGCAGUGGGGAAUAUUGCACAAUGGGCGCAAGCCUGAUGCAGCAACGCCGCGUGAGGGAUGACGGCCUUCGGGUUGAAAACCUCUUUUAGUAGGGAAGAAGCGAAAGUGACGGUACCUGCAGAAAAAGCACCGGCUAACUACGUGCCAGCAGCCGCCGUAA
rnacentral:rRNA from 1 species